rnacentral:miRNA from 1 species
UCCCCGCUCUUGAUGCGCGUGCGCA